rnacentral:ribozyme from 1 species
UACCAUGCAACUCCAAUCCCUACCUCCAAGUGGCACCGGCCGGGAUGCGAGCAACCUUAGAAAAGAUCGGAUAACCAACCUCGGUGGGAACUUUGGUCGUAUGCUGACAGGGAAGG